rnacentral:rRNA from 1 species
CCUACGGGAGGCUGCAGUAGGGAAUUUUCGUCAAUGGGCGCAAGCCUGAACGAGCAAUGCCGCGUGAACGAGGAAGGUCUUCGGAUCGUAAAGUUCUGUUGAAGGGGAAAAAGAGCGGAGAGAGGAAAUGAACUCCGAUUGAUAUUACCCUUCGAGGAAGUCACGGCUAACUACGGGCCAGCAGCCGCGGUAAUACGUAGGUGGCGCGCGUUAUACGGAAUGAAGGGGCGUAAAGGGUGCGUAGGCGGCCUGCUAAGACAGAGGUGAAAGGUACCGGCUCAACCGGUACAGGCUCUGGAAACUGGCGGGCUAGAGAGCAGGAGAGGGCGGGGGAACUCCAUGUGUAGCGGUAAAAUGCGUAGAUAUAUGGAAGAACACCAGUGGCGAAGGCGGCCGCCUGGCCUGUUACUGACGCUGAGGCACGAAAGCGUGGGGAGCAAAUAGGAUUAGAUACCCGAGUAGUC